rnacentral:rRNA from 1 species
UACGUAGGGUGCGAGCGUUAAUCGGAAUUACUGGGCGUAAAGCGUGCGCAGGCGGUUCGUUGUGUCGGCGGUGAAAGCCCCGGGCUCAACCUGGGAAUGGCCGUUGAAACUGGCGAACUGGAGUGUGGCAGAGGGGGGUGGAAUUCCGCGUGUAGCAGUGAAAUGCGUAGAGAUGCGGAAGAACACCGGUGGCGAAGGCGGCCUGCUGGGCAGUUGCUGACACUGAGGCGCGACAGCGUGGGGAGCAAACAGG